GGAUGUGAGGGCGAUCUGGCUGUGACGUCUGUCACCCCAUUGAUGGCCAGUCUUGGUUUGGCUAAGCUGGCUGGCUAGGCAGGUAUCUUCUUCCUCCCUCACCGCUCCAUGCGCUUGCUCGUGCGUGCGUCCCUCUUGAAGACGCUGUGCUGCUUGCUCCAUAGAAGAGGACGACCUUUGGUCAAGGGUAUAGGAGUAUCCAUGCCCCUCCGCCAGGACCUGCCAACAAACUCUCAAAAGAGGAUGUGGAAUGAGGGUUAUCAGUGCGUGUUGAUGUCAGAAAGAUAUUUAUUUACUUUUUAAUUGACUAUGCAAAAGCAUUCAACUUUG
rnacentral:snRNA from 1 species